UGGGAUGCCACUGUCCAGAAGUGAAGGUCUGACUCGUCCCCGAACAACCUGCAGUUUGCCACAGAAAAACAAAAACGCAUCACCUGAGUUCAGUGUUUGUCUCUGGACUAGUCAGAUUCUGCAGCCUGAAUCAUCAUGGCACCUGGUUUCCCUACUCGUUUGCUCAUUAAUGACCACAGUUCCUCCAUCAUCCAGCCUACGCUUUGUCUUCCUUUUACGCUGCAUAAGGAUCCUAGCUCACCAGUCAGGUCUUGUUCAUCCAUGCGGUAGCUGGCAGACUUCAUGGCCAUUUCCAACACUCGGAUACAGCCAUCGUCAGAUGCCAGGACAACCUUGUCUGAUGUGCACCAGUCGAUGUCUAAGAUGCGGUAGUUCACAUUGCGACCAAUGCGCAUACUGCUGACCAUUUGAACCUGCAGAGAAAGGACAUCCAAGCUUGACUCAUCUGCUGUCCGGCUUUUAUAACUGGGGACCAUAAACAGAGCUCCACGAUGACCAUUUUCUCUCUACCUCACUCUUCAUAAUAAACCAAAUCAUCGA